AAAUUGCGUCGACAAGUGCUAAAAAAUGGCGUCGACAUCCGACCAUAACAGAACUGAACAGAAAACUGCGACACGGAUCGAGAACGACGAUCGAUGUAUUUUUAAUAAUUUGUUUCAUAAGCUAUUCGAUAGGGUCAGGGACAUUGACUUUUAACCGAAAGACAUUGCCAGGUUCAUAUAAUAUUCCGACCAAGAUUAACAGAUUGUGCGAGGACGAGAAAAGCUGGACAGGCGUUGGAUUGAAAUCGAAGACAUUCGUCUUUAUCUCGGCAACACACCGAGUCAGAAUUUUGGGAAAAAUCUCUAGAUGGGUACAAAUUUUUGUUGCUUGCAGCCUCUGAACAGACCCCUCCGCCAACACAAAUGCUUGUGCAGGGAAAUGAAGAGGACAUUUGAUGAGAUUGUGGAGGUCUUUCUUGCCUACCCAGCUGUGUGAAAACCUUGAAAAAAUGAGGAGACUUUGCAGGGAUAAACCUUCAGAUGAAUCAACCAUUAGCAGUAUACCAGAUUUGUUAUUGGGGCACAUAACUUCGUUAACAUCUGCAACAUGGAAUAAAAAUCUAUGUUACAAGCUGCAUGUGCCUUUGAAAGAACUUGUGCCCAGAGUUAAUGAAGGAUAGCUGAAGUUGAUGAUUAAACAGAAAUAGAAUCUUCCGACUAAGGGCUCUUGAACAAGACACAGCAUGAAGAGCCGAAAUUGUGCUGUUGUGUUUAGUCUAUGUUCGCCAUUAUUCAUUGUGAACUGUUAGUUAUGUAAAUUAAGCUUGCUGAAGGCCACAUAUUUUGCUUAAUCCUGAUUAAACUUGGUCAGAAUAUUUAUCAUGGCAAUAUGUAGGAAAGGUUUGAAUCUGUAUUAUUUUUCUCCUAAAACUAGAUCACAAAACCAAAUCUUUGAAAAAAAUGUUAUCACUUAAGAAGCCAUAUUUUGCAGCUCCAUCAUGAUGAAUCUUGGUCAAACUCCAUGUUUAUCGUGACAAUAUUUAGGUAAAGUUCGAAUGUGGGACACAUGCAUUAAAAAUCUAGACCAAUUCUUAUAAAAAUAAUCAUAACACUCUAGAGGCCACAUUUAUGAAUCCAUAUUGAUUAAAUGCGGUCAAAAUAUUCAUCGUGACACUAUGUGGACAGAGUUUGAAACUGGGCCCUGCGUGUCCAAAAACUUGGAAAAGCUUUAAGAUCAUCAUGAAGUGAUCGUUUAGAUGAAAUUUGCAAUAAGUGGUCAAUACAAUCAUUGUGAUAUAUCAAAUAUAAGAUUAAUCGUAGAACAAUAAUGCAACUCUUUUUCAGCAAUUACCCUUUUUCAUGAAAUGUAUCAUCCAGUAAAUAGUCAAUAUGACAAACUGGAAUGUGAUGAAAUACAAAGUGACUAUUGUUUAUGUGGAUUAUCAUCAAAUAGUGGAAAAGUGGACAAUAACAUGUAAUGAACUAAAAUUGGUGUUAUCUUAGUUGUGAAGAAAUACAAAGUGACAUCGCAUCGCUACCACCAUUGAACAAAUCCAUUAGGAGUUUGAAAAGUGUAUACCGUAAUAAUUAAUAAAUAUGUAUAAUCAGCACACAAUAUGUGAUGAGUAACUAAACAUACACAUGUAAAUCGAAUGUGAGGAAAUGCAAAAGGACAUUUCUAUUUUUGUGUCUUUAUGUAUAAAUCAAUUAUAAGUGUGAAGAGUGUGAAAUAUAUCAUCAAACAUAAUCAGGGAUAAGCAAGCAUCUAUCAAUAGACGUUUGAAAAAAGUUACUUUUGUAUUAAUUAUUUAAAGUGUUUAGUGUUGAGAGCGUAAUGAAGUUUUUGUAGUAAAACUGGAUAAUUAUUGGAUACACUGCAAAUGAGACUAAAUUGGACUCAUCCUUUCAAAACACAAUAUUUGAGGUGCCGGGCUACAAACUUGAAAGGAAAGACCGGAACAUUCAUGGUGGGGGUAUAGAGGCAUAUACUAGAUCUGACGUUGCUUCAAGUCGGCGGAAAGAUCUGGAAUGUGAUAAUCU